AGGGAAGUACAGAAAACAUGUAAGCACUGCUAACUCUUACACUCCGGGGCUAAACUCCCUGGCUUCCUUA
rnacentral:tRNA from 1 species